rnacentral:rRNA from 1 species
UACGGGGGGGGCAAGCGUUGUUCGGAAUUACUGGGCGUAAAGGGCUCGUAGGCGGCCAACUAAGUCGGAUGUGAAAUCCCCAGGCUUAACCUGGGAACUGCAUCCGAUACUGGAUGGCUUGAAUCCGGGAGAGGGAUGCGGAAUUCCAGGUGUAGCGGUGAAAUGCGUAGAUAUCAAGAGGAACACCUGAGGUGAAGACGGGUUGCUGGGCCAACACUGACGCUGAGGCGCGAAAGCCAGGGGAGCAAACGGG